rnacentral:rRNA from 1 species
UAACGGCGAGUGAAGCGGCAACAGCUCAAAUUUGAAAUCUGGCGCAAGCCCGAGUUGUAAUUUGUAGAGGAUGCUUCUGGGCAGCGGCCGAUCUAAGUUCCUUGGAACAGGACGUCAUAGAGGGUGAGAAUCCCGUAUGUGACCGGCGCGCACCCUCCACGUAGCUCCUUCGACGAGUCGAGUUGUUUGGGAAUGCAGCUCUAAAUGGGAGGUAAAUUUCUUCUAAAGCUAAAUACCGGCCAGAGACCGAUAGCGCACAAGUAGAGUGAUCGAAAGAUGAAAAGCACUUUGGAAAGAGAGUUAAAAAGCACGUGAAAUUGUUGAAAGGGAAGCGCCUACAACCAGACUUCGCGGCAGUGUUCCGCCGGUCUUCUGACCGGUCUACUCGCUGUCGCGAGGCCAUCAUCGUCUGGGCCCGCCGGAUAAGACCUCAGGAAUGUAGCUCACCUUCGGGGGAGUGUUAUAGCCUCUGGUGAUGCGGCGCGGCUCGGGCGAGGUCCGCGCUUCGGCAAGGAUGAUGGCGUAAUGGUUGUCGGCGGCCCGUCUUGAAACACGGACCAAGGAGUCUAACAUCUAUGCGAGUGUUCGGGUGUCAAACCCCUACGCGUAAUGAAAGUGAACGGAGGUGGGAACCGCAAGGUGCACCAUCGACCGAUCCUGAUGUCCUCGGAUGGAUUUGAGUAAGAGCAUAGCUGUUGGGACCCGAAAGAUGGUGAACUAUGCCUGAAUAGGGUGAAGCCAGAGGAAACUCUGGUGGAGGCUCGCAGCGGUUCUGACGUGCAAAUCGAUCGUCAAAUUUGGGUAUAGGGGCGAAAGACUAAUCGAACCAUCUAGUAGCUGGUUCCUGCCGAAGUU